rnacentral:lncRNA from 1 species
CAUGGACUCGCAUCCUCGUGCCUACGUACCCUCAUAGUGCAAUGAGGAAGUCAAAGCUCCAUAGUUCAGAGGACAAAGAUUGAGAAAAAUAAAUGAUUGGGGAUGGUGUUUAAAUCGGUAAGAAAAGGGUAAAAAUUAUGUCAUAACCAAGAAAUAAGGGUUAAAUAAAGAGGUGUAUCCAAAAAAGAAAAAGAUAGGGGGUUAAGCAUGAAAGUUUGCCCCUGAAUUGUGGUGUCAUAACGAAGAACGGAAAAGAUAAAAGGUGGUGUCAAAACCAAGAAAGGGGGUUAACCAUGAAGGUGUGUCCCUGAAUUGUUGCUUCAUAACCAAAAACAGAAAUAAAAGUGGUGUCAAAACCAAAAGAGGAGGUUAACCAUGAAGGCGUGUCCCUGAAUUGUCGUGUCAUAACCAAGAACAUAAAUAAAAGUGGUGUCAAAACCAAGAG